rnacentral:misc_RNA from 1 species
GGAAGUAAAAGUCGUAACAAAGUCUCCGUAGGUGAACCUGCGGAGGGAUCAUUACAGAGUUCAUGCCCUACCGGGUAGAUCUCCCACCCUAUGUUAUUAUUACUUUGUUGCUUUGGCGGGCCGUUAGGCUCCGGCCCGACUACCGGCCCCGGCUGGUAAGCGCCCGCCAGAGGACCCGAAACCCUGAAUAUUAGUGUCGUCUGAGUACUAUAUAAUAGUUAAAACUUUCAACAACGGAUCUCUUGGUUCUG